UGGCAAAAAUGAAUGUGAGAGGUGAGAGGAGUGAAGAGGCGGCGAGGAGCAGCAGUGGUGACGGGGCGGUAAAGAGUCCCUGGAGAAGAGGUGGAGGCGGCCCCAGUCACACCAGGAGCCACACACACAGCUGUCUGCACACCAUGGUGGCCUGCAGCGGCCUCAGCUGAUUUCAGACAAAAUACCAUGGCAGAAGGCAGUGGCAGCAGGUACCCCAGACAAGGGUGCUACAAUUCUGGUUAUGCAGCACCAUCACUUCCCUAUUCAUCUGUACCAGUGACGGCGUUUCAUACGCCUCGUCCCCAAGAGGUGUUUGGAUUGCCUUUCCAAAGAGGCAUCACAUACACCCAGUACCAGGACAACACCCAGUAUGCUGGGAACCCCCACCUGUCCUCUAGCACACAUUAUGAGAACACUCAUUAUCAUGGCAAUAAUCAGUACCAAGGAAAUAUACCAUUCCAGGACCGGACAAAUAUGCAGUAUCAGUCCAGCUGUAUGAUGCAAAAUGGUCCUGCACCUGCUGGCCAAAUGCUUUAUGAAAACAACUCAAAUUUUAAUGCCAGCCAUAGUCCAUUAACUCCAAAUGUAGGGUACAAUUUUGAUGCCGUUAGGCAGUAUGCCCCUGGAUGGCAGAGUGGCAGAGUUGGACAAAGUAUUAUUUCAAAUAUGAGUUACCAUAAUGUGGUGAACCCCGAGCCAAAUGAGCCUCGAUCAGAUGUGAAUAGUGCUUCAGGUAGUAAUUCUGCUGAAAAACAAAGAAAAAAUUCAUUACCAGGCACUGAAACGGCCUAUCCAAAUUUUGUUAUUGAUAGUUUUAAUGUUAAUGCACAUACCGAGGAAAAUUCGGCGGUUAGUAAUGCAAAUGAGAAUUCUGCUCGUGGAUACUCUGGGGAUAAAACUAGUUUUGGUAUUUCAAGUGAUGGUGCAAAGUCAAAGGGUUUAUCAAGAGGACGUGGAGGACAAAGCAAACGAGGAGGAGGAGGAAGGAGGAAUUAUACAAAUGAAAAGCCACCUGGCCAGGGGUAUGGUAAUACCCAGAAUUCCAGCAGUAGUUGGUAUGAUAGCCGAUCAAACAAUUUAGACGAGAGACAACGUGACCGGGACACUGCCCUUGCAGAGACUGCUGCAUUUAUGAAGAGCUUGAAUGUUAGAAAGGGUGCAACUGUAAAUGUGAAAGAAGAAACUAGUAAUGAUAGAAGACCUAGAAGUAGCUGGGGGAGACAAGAUAGAGGAGCAGGAGGGCGUGGCGGAGGUAAUAGACGUCAACAGAGAGACUAUUUUGGCGAAGAAAAACAGGGAAAGGAAUGGAUAAAUCGACAAGUGAGAACAGGAGAUGAGAAAGGUCACAGUGAAAAGGUUAACAGUUAUCCUGAACCAACUGAUGGCAGGGAAAAACUACCGAGGAAUGAGAGAUCUGGCAAUCGUGGUCGAGGAAAUUGGCGCUCUCACAAUCAGGAUGUAAGCAGAACUUUUGAUAACAGUGAUUCAAGUAAUUGGGAGGUAAAUGCACACCUUAACCAGGACGAGAGUAAGACAGUUACAAUUGGACCAGUGAUAAAUUCUAAGCCAGCUAGAGGAAGUGGUCGAGGAAGACAAGAUAGGAGACUAUGGGGUAAUGGUGAUAACAGCAUUCCUGGCAGUGAUAUUGCUGGUAAGGGUGUGAAGAAAGAAAAUCAAUCCGAUAAAGAAGUUAGUUUGCUGUCAUCCUCCCGUACUGAGGUCGGAGGUAAUGAGGACGAGGAAACGCAGCGUGAUCGUUUAACAGAACAGUUGACAAAGGGAACAUACGAAUGUAUGGUUUGUUGUGAUCGUAUCAAGCAGCAGCAUGCUAUAUGGCCCUGUGUCAAUUGUUAUAAUUGUUUCCACCUUGGGUGCAUUAAGAAGUGGGCCAAGACUUCUACUGGAGAUUCAGGCUGGAGGUGUCCUGCAUGCCAAGGCUCCACCCCAAAAGUUCCAAAUGCAUACAGAUGUUUCUGUGGAAAAAUGAGAGAACCGGAGUGGAAUCGGCGUGACAUGGCUCAUUCUUGUGGAGAGGUGUGUGGGCGGAGUCGAAAAAUUGAAUGGUGCAAACACAAAUGUAAUAUUCUUUGCCAUCCAGGACCUUGUCCACCCUGUUCAGCCUUUAUCAAAAAGUCGUGCCCUUGUGGAGCAGAAUCGCGUGAAGUGAAGUGUAGUGUGACGGAGCCAUUUAUCUGUGACGGUGUAUGUGGAAAGUUACUUAAUUGUGAAGGACAUAAGUGUGAGAAGAACUGCCAUACAGGACCAUGUGGUGACUGUCAACAACAGAUCACACAGAGCUGCCAUUGUGGAAAGAAUACCCGUGAAGUCGCUUGCACCCAAGACAUGUUUGGUAUAAUUGUGUACGGCUGUAAGGACAAGUGUUGCCGCACUCUGGAGUGUGGUAAUCACCAGUGUGAAGCAGAGUGCCACCCCGGGGAAUGCCAACUCUGCGAGAGAGCAGUAGAUAUCAUCACACGCUGUCCCUGUGGUAAAGUACCAUUGGAAAAAUUGUAUGAAAGAGAUGGUGCAAUCCAACGAAAAUCCUGCUCGGAUCCAAUACCCACCUGCAGUCAGUCGUGCCAGCACAUUCUCAAAUGUGGUGUUCCAGGUUCAUUUCAUGAGUGCCAAGCACUGUGUCAUGAGGGCCCAUGCCCGCCAUGUCCUCUUGAGACCCCCGUCAAGUGUCGCUGUGGUGCCAUGGAUCACAAUGUUCUGUGUUCAGAGCUGACAACAAAAGCUGACGAGGUUACUUGUAAGAAGCCUUGUAAAAAGCUGCGUCACUGUGGGCGACACAAAUGCACCACCAAAUGCUGUAUAGAUGUGGACCACGUGUGUAUGCUGGUGUGUGGGAGAAUGCUGACGUGUGGCUUGCACAAAUGUGAAGAGCCAUGUCACCGUGGAAACUGUCCAAGAUGCUGGCAGACAAGCUUUGAAGAACUAACCUGCCAUUGUGGUGCAUCUGUAAUUUAUCCACCUGUGCCUUGUGGAACCAAACCUCCGGUCUGUGAAAAUCCAUGUCGACGUCCACAUACCUGCCCUCAUGAAGCAACGCAUCUGUGUCAUGCUGAUGAACCUUGUCCACCUUGCACUAUGCUUGUUGAUAAGCCUUGUUUUGGAAAUCAUAAGAUAAUGCUUCGAACCCUGUGCUACUUGACUGCCGUGUCAUGUGGAGGAGCAUGUGCGCGUCCCUUGCCUUGUGGAUUACACAAAUGUCAGCGCGUUUGCCAUGAACAGCCAUGUGUACCAGAAGGAACAUUAUGUACACAAAGGUGCUUAAAGCCUCGAGAAUCGUGUGGCCAUCCCUGCGCUAACCCAUGCCAUACUGCAUCCUGUCCAGACACAUCCUGCAAGGAGAUGGUUAAGAUUUCCUGCGAGUGUGGGCAUCGAAAAACUACUCUUCAAUGCUCUGAGAAUGAUAGGGAAUAUCGUGCGCUGGCCACCUCCCUGCUGGCUUCUCAGAUGCAGAACAUGAAUAAUGGAUGUUCUGUUGAUCUCUCCGACAUAUUUACUGCUACUGCAAGACCUGACAAGCUCAGGAGAUUGCCAUGCAAUGAAGAGUGUCAAACAGUGGAACGUAACAGGCGGCUAGCAUUAGCUCUGCAGAUAGAGAACCCUGAAGCCCGUGAGAAACUUGGUAACUCCUCCAUACUCUACUCUGAUUUCAUGAAGGACGAAUCUCGCAAGGAUCCAAAUCUUGCCAAGAUGGUUCAUGAUGCACUGACAGAUUUGGUCUUGAAGUCCAAGGAGUCCAAGCAAAAGAGUUGUAUUCAUUCAUUUGCGCCAAUGAACCGAGAAAAGCGUCAGUUUGUCCAUGAGUAUUGUGAACAUUUUGGAUGCCAGAGUCAAUCUUAUGACGACGAACCAAAAAAGAAUGUUGUUGCCACAGCUGUACGAGGGUCGUGCUGCCUACCACCAAUGAGCGUGUUGACAGUGAUUCAACGAGAACAAGGCCAAAGGAAAGUACCUGCUCCAGUCUGGACUCGCAAGUCUCCUGUGAAAUGUUGAGUCAGGUGGCAUGCAGGGCAGCUGGCAGCUAAGGGGAUUAGGUGUCACAAACAUAGACGAUGGCAGGUGGAAAGGCAAGUGUUGCUACACACUUUGUACUACACAGAAGGGUGAUGGGUGCAUGGAUUGGACUUUGUUCAUGAGAACGGACUGCAUCGUGCCAUGACUUCUGGUCUCGUGUGAUGUUGUUUGUGUGCAGAUUUGGUACCAGCUCCUCUAAUAUUUUCCAUCCCACUGUUGAAAAGGUUUUUUCUUACUCCACUGAAAGAAGUACUUCUGCUGAAAACUAUAACUACAGUACUUGGGGUAUAUCAGCUCAUUCAUCUUUUGAAUUUAAUCUUGGCUACUAGUUCCUGAGUAGUGGAAAAUUUAGAAAUACAGUACUGUAGUAAUUGCCUUUAUGGUGGAACAAACAUCAAACAAUUGAAGGCUUAAUUUUCAUUUCAAUUAUUAACUACCCGAUAAUACACAUUAUUUACUUGUAGAACCAUAAACACUAUGAAGUUUAUCUUUAAAGCUGUUCAUUGACACCAGUAAUGUAACUUCCCUUUUAUUUAUAUGUAAUUUGAUAUUAAUAUUUAUUGCUACUGUACUGCAAGACAGCAUAAUACCCCUCCUCUUUAAGUAAGUUCCUUUAAUCACUGCUAAUUCAUAACUAGACUUAACAUUAUAAAUUAUUGAUGCUUAACUAUCAAGCAACGAAAUUAAUUUUCUAUGUUGCUCAUGUAUGGCAUGAACCAGAUCCACAACUGAACAGUAUUGAUUAUUGUGCCUAAAGCAAUUCCCUUAAAC
rnacentral:misc_RNA from 1 species